rnacentral:lncRNA from 1 species
UUAUAAUACACAUUUCUAAUGACACGUGUGACAUGGAUACACAGGCAUAUACACAUCUUGCGCAAAGGUACACACUGUAUUUAUAGAUGUAGAUACACAGACUUGCACAUAUAUGGAAUUUCUGUAUUUAGAGUUUUUCCACAAAGACAACACCCACUUUAAAUAUACAAGAGCAAAACCAGGGACACAGGGAAAGGUACAUGAACACAAAUAUAUACAUACCUUGUCAGCAUUUGGUAUUUAUUGAACACCCCACAAUCUGCUACUCAUAUUCCAACAGAAAGAGACCCCCACACAGAGUCAUAGACAUAGAAACCCAAACAUCCUCAUCAGUUCCACUCAGGAUUAUAUGGAGACCCAGUCUCCAAGCCAAAGAUGAAGAACUGUUUUUCUGUAGAUAGUCAAUGAGCCAUGGUGGAUAAAACAAUCAGUUGUAGAUGUAGUGUCAUUUAUAAUAGAGAAAAAAAAGCUUAAAGGUAAAUAACCUACAUGCCCCCAGAUGGGGAUCUACUUAAAGGUAUUCAGGUCAGAGUGGAACAGUAAGGAAACAUACACAUACAGUUACAGCCUCAUGGUCACAGUUUAUAACAUGAAAAGACAGUUAAGUUUUUAAAUUAAAGAAAAUUGUCUACACAGCAUAAUCACAAAAAGUGUGUAAAGAAAUAUGCAUAGGGCCAGGAGCGAUGGCCUACACCUGUAAUCCCAGCACUUUGGGAGGCCGAGACGGGUGGAUCAUCUGAGGUCAGGAGUUCGAGACCAGUCUGCCCAACAUGGUGAAUCCCCAUCUCUACUAAAAAUACAAAAAUUAGCUGGACAUGGUGCCGCAUGCCUGUAGUCCCAGGUACUCAAGAGGCUGAGGCAGGAGAAUCACGUGAACCAGGGAGGCAGAGGUUGCGGUGAGCUGAGAUCGCGCCAUUGCACACCAGCCUGGGUGACAGAGCAAGACUGUCUCAAAAAAAAAAAAAAAAGAUGCUUAGAAGAAAAGAUUGGAAGGAAUUACACCCAAAUAUUAUUAUUGAUUGUCUUUGGGAGUUAAGACUUUAGAAUACCUUUUUUUUUUCUUUGAGGCAGUCUUGCUCUGUAGCCAGGCUGGAGUGCAGUGGCGUGACCUCGGCUCACUGCAACCUCCGCCUCCUGGGUUCAAGCGAUUCUCCUGCCUCAGCCUCCCAAGUAGCUGGGAUAACAGGCACACGCCACCAUGCCCAGCUAAUUUUUGUAUUUUCAGUAAAGACGAGGUUUCAC